CCUACGGGUGGCAGCAGUAGGGAAUAUUGCUCAAUGGGGGAAAUCCUGAAGCAGCAACGCCGCGUGGAGGAUGAAGGUUUUCGGAUUGUAAACUCCUUUUGUUAGAGAAGAUACUUACGGUAUCUAACGAAUAAGCACCUGCUAAAUCCGUUCCAGUAGCCGCCGGAAUACGGAGGGCGCAAGCGUUACUCGGAAUCACUGGGCGUAAAGGGCGCGUAGGCGGGAUAGCAAGUCAGAUGUGAAAUCCUAUGGCUUAACCAUAGAACUGCAUUUGAAACUGUUAUUCUAGAGUAUGGGAGAGGUAGGUGGAAUUCUUGGUGUAGGGGUAAAAUCCGUAGAGAUCAAGAGGAAUACUCAUUGCGAAGGCGACCUGCUAGAACAUAACUGACGCUGAUGCGCGAAAGCGUGGGGAGCAAACAGGAUUAGAUACCCGUGUAGUC
rnacentral:rRNA from 1 species